CUUAAAGAAAGAAACAAGUUCUUGGCAAGAGAAGCAUCCUCCUUGAAGUAUUUGGCUGAGGAGUUUUCAAUCCCAGUUAUCUUGACGAAUCAGGUUACAACCCAUCUGAGUGGAGCCCUGGCUUCUCAGGCAGACCUGGUGUCUCCAGCUGAUGAUUUGUCCCUGUCUGAAGGCACUUCUGGAUCCAGCUGUGUGAUAGCCGCACUAGGAAAUACCUGGAGUCACAGUGUGAAUACCCGGCUGAUUCUCCAGUACCUUGAUUCAGAGAGAAGACAGAUUCUUAUUGCCAAGUCCCCUCUGGCUCCCUUCACCUCAUUUGUCUACACCAUCGAGGAGGAAGGCCUGGUUCUUCAAGAUCCUAUGGCAUGAAGUGGGCAAUGGUUCUGACACCAGUGUGGAGCCUAUGGAAAUUCCUAGAGACAGAGAAAUGUGCAAACCUGUUCAUCUUGCCAAGAAAAAUCCGCUUUUCUGCCACAGAAACAAAAUAUUGGGAAAGAGUCUUGUGGUGAAACACCCAUUGUUCUCUGCUAAAACGUUUGUUUGCUACUGUGUAGACUCAGCUUUAGUCAUGGAAUUCUAGAGGAUGUAUCUCACAAGUGGGAUCAAGAACAAGCCCGACAGUAAUCUGCACCAUAAGUUGAUUUGAUACCAUGGCACUGACAAUGGGCACACAGGGAACGGGAAGUGGGAAUGAGAGCAAGGGUUGGGUUGUGUUCGUGGAACACACAGGUAUUUUUUUUUUUUUACUUUCUCUUUCUAAAAUAUUUCAUUUUUAUGGAGGUGAAAUUUAUAUAAGAUGAAAUUAACCAUUUUAAAGUAAACAAUUCUGUGGCAACUAGACAUCAUGAUAUGCAACCAGCAUCUCUGUCUAGUUCCAAAUGUUUUUGUCACCCCAAAAGCAAGACCCAUAACCAUUAUGCAAGUGUUCCUAUUUCCCCCUCCUCCCAGCUCCUGGAAACCCACCAAUCUACUUUGUUGCUAUGGAUUUACCUAUUCUGGAUAUUUCAUAUAAAUGGAAUCAUAUAGUAUGUGACCUUUUGUGUCUCUCUUCUUUCACUAGUAUGUUUUCAAGGUUCCUCCAUGGUGUAGUGUGCAUCAGUACUUCAUUCUUUUUAUGGCUGAAUAAUAUUCCAUUGUCAGGA
rnacentral:sRNA from 1 species